rnacentral:rRNA from 1 species
GAUGAACGCUGGCGGCGUGCCUAAUACAUGCAAGUCGAGCAAGCAGACGAGGAGCUUGCUCCUCUGACGUUAGCGGCGGACGGGUGAGUAACACGUGGAUAACCUACCUAUAAGACUGGGAUAACUUCGGGAAACCGGAGCUAAUACCGGAUAAUAUAUUGAACCGCAUGGUUCAAUAGUGAAAGACGGUUUUGCUGUCACUUAUAGAUGGAUCCGCGCCGCAUUAGCUAGUUGGUAAGGUAACGGCUUACCAAGGCAACGAUGCGUAGCCGACCUGAGAGGGUGAUCGGCCACACUGGAACUGAGACACGGUCCAGACUCCUACGGGAGGCAGCAGUAGGGAAUCUUCCGCAAUGGGCGAAAGCUUGACGGAGCAACGCCGCGUGAGUGAUGAAGGUCUUCGGAUCGUAAAACUCUGUUAUUAGGGAAGAACAAAUGUGUAAGUAACUAUGCACGUCUUGACGGUACCUAAUCAGAAAGCCACGGCUAACUACGUG